rnacentral:rRNA from 1 species
AAAGGAAUUGACGGGACCCCGCACAAGCGGUGGAUCAUGUUGUUUAAUUCGAAGAUACGCGAAGAACCUUACCAGGUCUUGACAUACUCUGCAAUACUAUAGAGAUAUAGUGGAGGUUAUCAGAUGUACAGGUGGUGCAUGGUUGUCGUCAGCUCGUGUCGUGAGAUGUUGGGUUAAGUCCCGUAACGAGCGCAACCCCUAUUGCUAGUUGCCAUCAUUAAGUUGGGGACUCUAGCGAGACUGCCAGUGACAAACUGGAGGAAGGUGGGGAUGACGUCAAAUCAUCAUGCCCCUUAUGACCUGGGCUACAAACGUGAUACAAUGGCUGUAACAAAGGGAAGCGAAAGGGUGACCUGGAGCAAAUCUCACAAAUACAGUCCCAGUUCGGAUUGAAGUCUGCAACUCGACUUCAUGAAGCCGGAAUCGCUAGUAAUCGUGGAUCAGAAUGCCACGGUGAAUACGUUCUCGGGGUUUGUACACACCGCCCGU